rnacentral:lncRNA from 10 species
UGGCCUUCAAAACCUAUCCCUUUUGUAUUUUCCCUGAUAUUGCUGUCUACUUCUAAAAUAAGAGAGGGAGAGACUUCCACUGAUGGGUGAACCUCUGUUUUGUUUUGCUCCCAACUGUAUAACCCUUCACUUUCAGACAAUAGGUGGGUGAGUGAGUUACUGUGUUAAUCCACAUUAUAGGCUGCUCUUUCCACUCGUAUAACCAAUUCCAUGCAGGACUUGGCUCCACAGGUAAAGGAGCCCGCUGCUGUCUCAGGGUGGAGGUGGGUGUCCUUCCCUCUCCACAGCCGGGCAGAAACAAUCCUGCUUUACUUCCUUCCACUACAGGAGCUUAUUUAGGCUUCUAAUGUUUUUUUUUUUUUCUUUUAUUUCUCUCUACAGUCGUGUGCCCCACAACGACAUUUUGGUCAACAAUGGACUGCAUAUACCAUGUGGCCCCAUAAGAUUAUAAUAGAGCUGAAAAAUUCCUGCUGCCUAGUGACAUUGUCGCUGUUGUGAUGAUGUUGUAGCUAUUGUAGUAGCACAAUGCAUUACUCACGUGUUUGUGGUGUUCCUGUUGUAAAUAAGUCGACUAUGCUGCCAGUUGUAUAAACGUCUAGCACAUGUAAUUCUGUAUAGUACACAAUACUUGGUAAUGAUAAUAAACGACUAUGUUACUGGUUUAUAU